GCUGGUCUUCGGGGUGGAAGAGUCACCGCUGCUAACAGAGCCCCACCCUCAGCUGUGGAUAAAAGGCAGGGGCGGAGAUGAAUAGGUGUGGCAGACAACUAUUUGUCUCCCUGUCAGUCAGCCACGUCUAAUUGGAACUCCUGACUCUUGUUUGGAAACUUGCUGGAGUUUUCCUCAGAUCCUAUGGCGCUGGGAGUCAGAGCACCUUCUGAGUGUGUAAAAUAAAAGCUACUCCUCUGGGAAUACAUUUGUGCACCUGUCAGAUGUUUGACUCUGAGGAAAAACUUUGAGGAGACUGAGCUACAAGAGGAGAGAUGCCUCCAGAGUCAAGAUGAAUGGCAUUGGCUCUAUAGAAUAAUGGCAUAAAUAUUAUGAAAGAUUUGCUUUGAAUAUUUGAUCAUAUCUCUGAUUCAAACUUCUCCAUUACAUUCAAGUCUGCCAAAAUUUUGGAAGCUUCUGGAGCAUCAGGACCAACAGUGAAAUUAAUAAAGGUUCCAAUUGUAUCUAUUGUUUAUCUCUCUGCCUGACUGUCUGUGUCCCUGUCUCUCUGUGUAUGUCUGUGUGUAUAGUAACUUGUGUUCUUUAUACUUUAAAAGUCCAAAGUAAGAGUGUUAUGCUAAUUUUAGCCGAAUCCUCAAAAAUUGGUUUUCCAGCUAUUUAUAAGUAGGGAUUACUGUAUAAUGUCAAUUUCUCAUUAAAUUUGGAGUCAAAAUUUAAUUUUAUUCCUUAGAGUAUCUAAAAGUGUGUGACCAUCUUUAAUGCUAUAUAAAUAAUCAAAUUACUUCUAUAGUUAAAUAUAGGAAUUUGCCAGGGUUUUAAGGGAACUUUGCUAUCAAAUGCAGUACGGAUCUUUGAAUAAGAAAAUUCUUGGAAAUUCUCUUGACAAUAGGGGUUUAUUCCACUAUGCUUAUUCUGUGCUGAUUUAUUGACAUAUAAAAACAAUAAAAUGAAGAGAAAUGUAUAUUUUCUAUCUUGCACUCUGUUUUAAAUAUUUUAAUGUGAUCUAUGAGUUUCCUUCUACCUUGUUGCUAUGUUACAGGUUUGUAAGCACAUCAACAGCAGUUCUCAAGUGUCAAGGUUAUGAUUUAACAGCCAAACAGCUUAUGUAAUGAUGUAAUGUAAUAUAAGGUAGAUGUUGCAAUAAUAGGAAUGACUCAGCAGGUGUGUGUAUCCCUUUAAGAGUCUGAGUAUAAAAGGGAAGGCUUUUGCUGUUGUAUUUUCUCUUGUCUGUUUCCUGCUGUAAUUGCUGUGCAUUGGAAUUUGCUGAAUUAUCACCAUGUGUAUGUAUUUUGUUUCUAGUGUAUAUUUGUAGAUAGUAUAUGAUAAAUCACUAUUUAAUAUAAACCACUGUUUACUGUAUUUACUCCUAGAUUACCUCAGCGCAAUAACACUGUGCAUGCUCCAAUGAAUGGAAACUGAUCAAGGCGAGAAGCAACUUAGAACUAAGGAGAA